UUGUUGGAAAAACGUAAACUGGAUAAGCCGGAUUGUGUGGAACGAUCGCAAAUGCAGCAAAGUCAAGUCUGGCGGGAGUGUUACAAUGGCGGCUUGCGUUUAGGGUGAAUCGAGCGGGAUCACCAUAAGCAUAGUUCUCCUUUAGGCGAAGCGGUCACCUGCAAUUUCAUGGCUUCAUCCCUUCAACUCCAAUUCCGUCUUUCUCCUUCAACCACUCCAGCUCUUCUGCGUCACCGCCCUAUUCAAUGCGCUACCGACCGCCGGGCAUUGUUCGACCGUAUUGCGCCUGUCUAUGAUAACUUGAAUGAUUUGCUCAGUUUGGGUCAGCAUCGUAUUUGGAAACGGAUGGCCGUCUCCUGGAGCGGUGCAAAGGCAGGAGAUUGCGUCUUGGAUAUAUGCUGCGGAAGCGGCGAUUUGGCGUUCCUCUUAUCUCAGAAAGUUGGAUCCAACGGCAAGGUGACGGGUCUUGAUUUCUCACGGCAGCAGCUAAGUAUUGCUUCUUCUCGCCAAACUUCUCUCUCCAGACCCUGCUAUAAGAACAUUGAGUGGGUGGAGGGUGAUGCUCUCAAUUUGCCAUUUUCUGACGGUUCUGUCGAUGCCAUUACGAUGGGCUACGGUCUACGAAAUGUGCUAGAUAAACGGAAAGCUUUGGAGGAGAUGCUUAGAGUAUUGAAAGAAGGUAGUAAGCUAUCAAUUCUCGACUUCAGCAAGGCUACGCAACCGACUACUGCUUCUAUUCAGGAAUGGAUGAUCAACAACAUCGUUGUCCCAGUGGCAUCUGGUUAUGGGCUUGCCGAGGAUUAUAAAUAUCUGUCUAAAUCCAUCAGUGAAUUUUCAACAGGAAAGGAAUUGGAAAAGCUUGCUUUAGAGGUAGGGUUCUCUACCUCUAUACAUUAUGAAAUUAGUGGAGGCCUUAUGGGAAAUUUGGUGGCAUCUCGUUAAAUGGGAUUCAUGUUUUGCCUUGGUUCAAAGCUUUGGAACUUGACUAUUGUGAGAAUAUGGUGUUUUGGCUUCAUGUCUUUGAUGCAUUAAGUUCUGUGGCAUUCUCACCGAACCUCUGUUUCAUAGAGAGCCUUACCAAAAAUGAAGCGAUCAAGACUCUUGUUUGGUAGGAAUUCAUAAACAAGUAGGCUUUCAGGUCCAGAACAACUGCAUCCAAGCAACCUUACAAGAUUUUUAUGUUCGACACUGCUGAUCAUGUUUACUUCAUUGUAGAAAUCUGCUGCUCUAUGUCUGUUAUCAAAGAAGAAUCUCUUAACAGCAAUCUCUCUUCCAUCAGGUAGAGUUCCCUGCGAUGCAUAGGAAUGAAUAGUAAAUGAUGUGUUGUUGGUCAUAAUUGGAGAUUGCAGGUCCUGUCAAGAUGGAGAGGAAGAAUAAUAACCUUAUAAACAGAGCCAAACCCCCCUUGUCCAAUCUUGUUAUCGAGGCUGAAAUUGUUGGUAGCUUUUUCAAGGGUGGAGUACUUGAAGUUCAAGUUACUAUCUUGAAGAGUUUUUGCUAACUUCUUCACAUCAGUUGAACCUCCUGUGAAGUGUUAAUCAUAUCAUUUGAAGAAAAGAAUGUCAAUUAAUCUCCCCCAAA